rnacentral:lncRNA from 1 species
UGCCGGUCCAGCGGUACAGAGCCCCAGCUCACAACCUGUCCCUGGAGCACAAGGACCCCCGGGACCUCAGGGACCACCAGGGAAGGAUGGCAUCCCGGGAAGGGAUGGUGAACCAGGCGACCCUGGUGAAGACGGGAGGCCGGGUGACACUGGACCUCAAGGCUUCCCGGGGACCCCAGGAGAUGUGGGCCCUAAGGGUGAGAAGGGAGAUCCUGGUAUUGGGCCUCGAGGACCUCCAGGACCUCCGGGACCACCAGGACCCUCCUUCAGACAGGACAAGCUGACCUUCAUUGACAUGGAGGGAUCUGGUGGUUUCAGCGGAGACCUAGAGAGCCUCAGAGGCCCACGAGGC